rnacentral:lncRNA from 1 species
AUGGAGCCCAACAUGCGGAUGUGCCCUCCGGCGGCAGCAGCAACCACACGAUCCAGGGAGACGACAGCAACCACACAAUCGCAUACGACGUACCUUCUGGCACUGGCAACCAGACCAUUGCAUACGAUGUACCUCCUGGCGCCGGCAACCAGACCAUUGCAUACGACGUCCCUCCUGGCACCGGCAACUGGACGAUCGCUGAAGACCACGGCAACUGGACGAUCGCUGGAACGGACGAUCGUGAGCCACGGCAACUGGACGAUCGCUGAAGACCACGGCAACUGGACGAUCGCUGAAGACCACGGCAACUGGACGAUCGCUGAAGACCACGGCAACUGGACGAUCGCUGAAGACCACGGCAACUGGACGAUCGCUGAAGACCACGGCAACUGGACGAUCGCUGAAGACCACGGCAACUGGACGAUCGCUGAAGACCACGGCAACUGGACGAUCGCUGAAGACCACGGCAACUGGACGAUCGCUGAAGACCACGGCAACUGGACGAUCGCUGAAGACCACGGGACGAUCGCGGAAGACCACGGCAACGGGACGAUCGCGGAAGACCACGGCAACGGGACGAUCGCGGAAGACCACGGCAACGGGACGAUCGCGGAAGACCACGGCAACGGGACGAUCGCGGAAGACGUGAAAGCCCACAUUGUUCAUAGAACUUGAACAGGUUUUUGGUACCUUCCUGCUUUUAUGUAAAAAUAAAAAUUUUAACCAACAUUUUUGUGUUUGACUCAUUUCCCACUGACUUAACAUGGUUGCGACAGUGGCGCAGAUGGUAGAGCGGGUCGUCUCAUGAUCGGAAGGUCGUGGGUUCGAAUCCCGCCUCCUGACUGUGCACAUUGUCGUUGUGUCCUUGGGCAAGGCACUUCACCCACAUUGCCUCCAGUGUCUGCCUACACUGGUAGCCCCCUAGGAGAGACCAACAGGCCCGGUUUGAACCGUGAGGCCGUCCUUCCGUGGACCCACCACCUGCAGAAGGAGCCAUGGGGGGCUGGUGCAAUGUGAUUUGGGCAGCUCCGGCGGCUGCCCCCACGACCCGGCAACGGACAAGUGGAAGAAAAUGGAUGGAUGGAUGGAUUAACAUGGUUGCACAGCAAGUUUAAAAUUUACUUUAUUCAAUGUCACUUCCUGUCGGUGUCCAAUAAGGAAGUGAAACUAAAAACAUCACAUGGUCAAACUAAAGAGAACUGGGUAUAUUCUUUAGCAAAAUCUUAA